rnacentral:rRNA from 1 species
CCCUUAGACGUUCUGGGCCGCACGCGCGCUACACUGACCAGUGCAACAAGCAUCCGUCCUUGGCCGACAGGCCCGGGUAAUCUUUGAACGCUGUUCGUGACUGGGAUAGACCUUUGCAAUUAUGGGUCUUCAACGAGGAAUUCCUAGUAAACGCAAGUCAUCAGCUUGCAUUGAUUACGUCCCUGCCCUUUGUACACACCGCCCGUCGCACCUACCGAUUGAAUGGUCCGGUGAAAUCUCGGGACGGCGGCUUGGUCGCUUGCGUCCGACUGCUGAAACUUGAUUAAACCAUAUCAUUUAGAGGAAGGUGAAGUCGUAACA